rnacentral:rRNA from 1 species
AGUGAACGCUGGCGGUAGGCCUAACACAUGCAAGUCGAACGGCAGCACAGGAGAGCUUGCUCCCUGGGUGGCGAGUGGCGGACGGGUGAGGAAUACAUCGGAAUCUACUCUGUCGUGGGGGAUAACGUAGGGAAACUUACGCUAAUACCGCAUACGACCUACGGGUGAAAGCAGGGGACCUUCGGGCCUUGCGCGAUUGAAUGAGCCGAUGUCGGAUUAGCUAGUUGGCGGGGUAAAGGCCCACCAAGGCGACGAUCCGUAGCUGGUCUGAUAGGAUCAUCAGCCACACUGGAACUGAGACACGGUCCAGACUCCUACGGGAGGCAGCAGUGGGGAAUAUUGGACAAUGGGCGCAAGCCUGAUCCAGCCAUACCGCGUGGGUGAAGAAGGCCUUCGGGUUGUAAAGCCCUUUUGUUGGGAAAGAAAUCCAGCUGGCUAAUACCCGGUUGGGAUGACGGUACCCAAAGAAUAAGCACCGGCUAACUUCGUGCCAGCCGCCGCCGUAA